rnacentral:rRNA from 1 species
GCUGGAAUGAAUGGUUUGACGAAGGUUAAGCUGUCUCCACUUUAUUUUUUAGAAUUUAAUUUUUAUAGUGAAAAAGCUUAAAUUUUUUAAAGGGACGAGAAGACCCUAAUGA